GACGAACGCUGGCGGCGUGCUUAACACAUGCAAGUCGAACGGAAAGGCCCCUUUGGGGGUACUCGAGUGGCGAACGGGUGAGUAACACGUGAGUAACCUGCCCUUGACUUCGGGAUAACUUCAGGAAACUGGGGCGAAUACCGGAUAGGAAUCCUUGCUGCAUGGUGGGGGUUGGAAAGCUUCGGCGGGUUUGGAUGGACUCGCGGCUUAUCAGCUUGUUGGUGGGGUAGUGGCUUACCAAGGCUGUGACGGGUAGCCGGCCUGAGGGGGCGACCGGCCACAUUGGGGCUGAGGUGCGGCCCCGGCUCCUACGGGGGGCAGCAGUGGGGAAUCUUGCACGAUGGGCGGGAGCCUGGUGCAGCAACGCCGCGUGCGGGAUGACGGCCUUCGGGUUGUAAACCGCUUUCAGCAGGGGCGAAGCUUGUGGUGACGGUACCUGCAGAAGAAGCACCGGCUAACUACGUG
rnacentral:rRNA from 1 species